GUUCCAGUCACCAAUCCCCCUCUGCCCCCUUUGGAACAAAGAGACACCAGCUUCAUAACAACAGUCAACAAUCAGCUGUUUUUCUUUAUUCCAGGUGUACUAAGUGUAGCAGGAUGAAACAAGCCUGCUCCAAAUUAGGUGGGUUGGCGCAUACCGGCUUCCGUACUCAUGAGGGCGCUGUGGGUAUAAAAGGGAGCUCUGCUCACUGUUGGAGCAUGCUAGGGAAACGCUGCAUUCUGGCGUCAGCUGCUGUCUUUAAACUGUGCCUCAGUAGGUGAUCGGCUCUGCUUUGGUGCUUGGGCAUUUGUUUGUUUUGUGCUGGGCGUGACGCUACUGCUCAUCCCAGAGUGAACUGAACACUGGAGAAGAGGUAUAUAGCUCCUGCAGGGGACAGCAUGUGAGUUGAACGAAUCCAACUCAAGCUCUGUGUUACAACUCGGACAGGUUAAAUACCUGUGCGCUGCCGGGCGGGGAAGCUUUCUUGCGGCCUAGGAUGAUGCUAGUUGGUGGACUGAUUGUGCUCUGUGGUCUGGCGGUUGGCGCUGCUGUUUUGCUUUAGUUAUUUUCUUCGUUCCGUUUUCCAGUUUCUCCCCCCUCCUGUGGGUUCCGCACAGACCUCUGCACAGUGUCGGAGGCUUUCCCACUCUAAGCAUGGGACCAGAGGGGAAAACAACUGUGUUUUAUUUAAGUAGUUUUAAACGAUUGUUUUUUUUGUAAACCCCCCUUUUAUUUUGUGCCGGCUGGGACAGGAGGUGGUGGCCUCGGUGGUGGCGGUCCCGUUUUGUGCGUGUGCUGGGUUCCCUUAUUGUUGGAUAAAUUAUGGAUACAUUAUGUAUAAUUUUAAACGAAAGUAACAUCCAGCCCAUUUUUUUCCCUGGCAACAGACAGGCGUUUGACCUUGCCUCUUCCCAGUCCUGGCUCAUCAGUAAGAACGCCCUGUGCCAGCGCAUGCUUGUCUCCCUAAAUGUGUGUGCGUUUUAACAUUUCUGUGUGUCUUUAAUAAAUACUCUUGAGAGGGCUUUUGUCGGACGAGAGCAAAGAGACCACCAAUUCGUGUAUCAUUUUAUCUCUCUCUCCACUUUGCAAAGUCUAAAUUGCUUAUUGUUAAGAUUAGAAUGGAUUAAACUGAUCAGCUUGGUAAUACCACCCCUGCAUGGUGAGCUUUCCCUUCAGGUAACCCUGGAUGGGAAAAUGAAAAUACCUAACACAUGUUGGAGUGAAUGUUCACUGUUGCCUGGGGUGACUUUAUUAUACUUUAUUGUGCUUGUUUCUUUUUGGUAUUCAUCACCCCGUGUGUCCAUUCCCUCCAGUUGGUCUCAGUCCUGCAAUUUAUUUCCUGUUUGUCUUGUCGCCCUGUUUUUAAGCAGAACACUUUUAAACAUCUAUAUAUGUAUUUUAUGUUUUUAAAUAAAUCAAUUGUAAAUUUUGGAA